GGUGUAACGGUGGAAUGUGUAGAUAUCGGGAAGAACACCGAUGGCGAAGGCAGGUCUCUGGGCCGUCACUGACGCUGAGGAGCGAAAGCGUGGGGAGCGAACAGGAUUAGAUACCCUGGUAGUCCACGCCGUAAACGGUGGACGCUGGAUGUGGGGCACGUUCCACGUGUUCCGUGUCGGAGCUAACGCGUUAAGCGUCCCGCCUGGGGAGUACGGCCGCAAGGCUAAAACUCAAAGAAAUUGACGGGGGCCCGCACAAGCGGCGGAGCAUGCGGAUUAAUUCGAUGCAACGCGAAGAACCUUACCUGGGCUUGACAUGUUCCCGACGACGCCAGAGAUGGCGUUUCCCUUCGGGGCGGGUUCACAGGUGGUGCAUGGUCGUCGUCAGCUCGUGUCGUGAGAUGUUGGGUUAAGUCCCGCAACGAGCGCAACCCUCGCCCCGUGUUGCCAGCACGUUAUGGUGGGAACUCACGGGGGACCGCCGGGGUUAACUCGGAGGAAGGUGGGGAUGACGUCAGAUCAUCAUGCCCCUUACGUCCAGGGCUUCACGCAUGCUACAAUGGCCGGUACAGCGGGAUGCGACAUGGCGACAUGGAGCGGAUCCCUGAAAACCGGUCUCAGUUCGGAUCGGAGCCUGCAACCCGGCUCCGUGAAGGCGGAGUCGCUAGUAAUCGCGGAUCAGCAA
rnacentral:rRNA from 1 species